rnacentral:tRNA from 2 species
GCCCUGGUGUUGGAAUUGGUAGACAAGCUAGCUUCAGGAGCUAGUGCCAGCAAUGGCGUGGGAGUUCGAGUCUCCCCCGGGGCA